rnacentral:rRNA from 1 species
UACGAAGGGGGCGAGCGUUGUUCGAUUGAUCUGGGCGUAAAGGGCGCGUAGGCGCCAGCUUUGUCAGGCGUGAAAGCCCUGGGCUCAACCUGGGAAUUGCGCUUGGGACGGGUUGGCUUGAGAUCGGGAGAGGAGAGUGGAAUUCCCAGUGUAGAGGUGAAAUUCGUAGAUAUUGGGAAGAACACCGGUGGCGAAGGCGGCUCUCUGGACCGACACUGACGCUGAGGCGCGAAAGCGUGGGGAGCAAACAGG